rnacentral:rRNA from 1 species
CCUACGGGUGGCUGCAGUGGGGAAUAUUGGACAAUGGGCGAAAGCCUGAUCCAGCCAUGCCGCGUGUGUGAAGAAGGCCUUCGGGUUGUAAAGCACUUUCAGUGGGGAAGAAAGCCUUGGGGCUAAUACCCUCGAGGAAGGACAUCACCCACAGAAGAAGCACCGGCUAACUCCGUGCCAGCAGCCGCGGUAAUACGGAGGGUGCGAGCGUUAAUCGGAAUUACUGGGCGUAAAGCGCGCGUAGGCGGUCUGAUAAGCCGGUUGUGAAAGCCCCGGGCUCAACCUGGGAACGACAUCCGGAACUGUCAGGCUAGAGUGCAGGAGAGGAAGGUAGAAUUCCCGGUGUAGCGGUGAAAUGCGUAGAGAUCGGGAGGAAUACCAGUGGCGAAGGCGGCCUUCUGGACUGACACUGACGCUGAGGUGCGAAAGCGUGGGUAGCAAACAGGAUUAGAUACCCUAGUAGUC